rnacentral:rRNA from 1 species
AGAAUUUGAUCCUGGUUCAGGAUGAACGCUGGCGGCGUGCCUUAGGCAUGCAAGUCGAACGGGGUCCGCAAGGACCAAGUGGCAGACGGGUGAGUAACGCGUAGGAAUCUACCUCUGGGUGGAACAUAGCUGUCCGAAAGGAUAGGUAAUUUUCCAUAGUCAAUUUAUUGUAAAGCACUUAACUGUGCGCCAAGAGAUGAGCCUGCGUCCUAUCAGCUUGUUGGUGGGGUAAUGGCCUACCAAGGCAAUGACGGGUAGCUGGACUGAGAGGUCGAUCAGCCACAACUGCACUGAGACACGGGCAGUACACCUACGGGUGGCAGCAACUAGGAAUAUUCGGCAAUGGGCGAAAGCCUGACCGAGCGACGCCGCGUGGAGGAUGAAGGCCUUAGGGUUGUAAACUCCUUUUGAUAGUCCUUUCACGGACUAUAGAAUAAGCCUCUACUAACUACGUGCCAGAAGUCUCGGUAAUACGUAGGAGGCAAGCGUUAUCCGGAUUCAUUGGGCGUAAAGUGUGCGUAGGCUCAUUGGCAAGUCGUAUUUUAAAGACUAAGGCUUAACCUUGGAAGUGGAUACGAAACUGCUAAUGUUGAGGAUUGUUAGGGAUGCUGGAACAGUUAAUGUAGCAGUGAAAUGCGUUGAUAUUAACUGGAACACCAAAGGCGAAGGCAAGCAUCUGGGAUUUUCCUGACGCUGAGGCACGAAAGCCAGGGGAGCGAAACAGAUUAGAUACCUGUGUAGUCCUGGCCGUAAACGAUGUCCGCUAGCUGUGCCAGCUUACUGGCGCGGUGUAAGCUAACGCGUUAAGCGGACCGCCUGGGGAGUACGGCCGCAAGGCUAAAACUCAAAGGAAUUGACGGGGUCCCGCACAACCGGUGGAGCGUGUGGUUCAAUUCGAGACAAAACGAAAAACCUCACCAGGGUUUGACAUGUAAUCGUUU